GCAACAGCAACGAGUAUACGAAAAUUUUGUACGAAAACAAAGCAAUCAACUCGGAUAAAUAAACCAAAAAUACCAAAGUACCAGUAAAACACAAAACAACAAGUAAAACAACAACAGCAGCAGCAACUCAAAACAAACAAAAAAUAAAGAAAGGAAACAAACGACUCCAUAGGCAGUUGGGGAAAUUGCUCUCUGCCAGCUUGAAUGCUAAACGAGACAAACAACAACAGCAAGAACAAGAACAAGAACAACAACAUCGACAAUAAGAUGAAGUCUGUGAAACUGAGGAAACUGAGGUGAAGCACAAGCCCAGCAUGCCAAACAGGUGUAGCUCUUUGGGGCCAAUGCGGUGUCCGGUUUUUCGGGGAGCAUCAUACAAAUGAUGACCCCAUAUUAAAAAGUCAAAAGUGGACAAGGGCUAAGGCUGCAACAUCAACAGUGCGGUGUGGCCAUGGAGUGAGGGGCGACAGCGGGGGCGGUGUGAUGUGGUGGUGAUGCUUUGGUGGUGGUGCUUAAACUUUGUCGCCAGCUCGUUGAUGAAGUUUGAUGCCAUGGCUGCUUGGUUGGCUUUUAUAUUCGUAAUACUUCAGCUCCUCAUAUCAUAUAUGUAUGUAUGUCUUGCUUGGAUUGUGUUUUUUAUGUCUCUCACACACAUACCCACACACAUGAACAUAAAAUUAAAAUGGCGAAUUGAAGGUGGCAUAUGCCAAAAAUUGCUGCUUGCUGCUUCGGGGGGAGAAAUUCAGUCAUUUUGUUAUAUGUUAUAUGGCGGUCAGUUUAUGAGUCCCUUG